AAUUCACAAACCCGAUGUAGCCGGAGGGGCUACUCGCUUUUUCUUUCUCUCUCGCCCCCACUUGCGCUACUGCUUUCUCUCUCUCCCUCCUGUGCUUGCUCCCGCUGCGCGCUUACGUCAACUAGGAGCACACCUGUAUAUUGAUUACAGGGCGGCGUUCACCUGUAUAAAGAGAAGCCGGGUUCUUUCGUUGGAUUAUUUCCUCCCGAGCUUCUGGUGCGAUACAGCGGUAGACGCUGGCUUGCUGGUUAAAUUACUGAGGCGAUCAGGUCGUGUGAUUGCUACAGUGCGGCUGUUUUUCUUUCCUUUGCUCCAGCCGUGGUGAGGAGACGCGUGAGUGCAUCCGCCGUGCAGUACAGCGCCUCCAAGUUCUGGGGGUUUGAUUGCUGCCGUGCCCUCUCGGGGACCAACCGCCUGCUUUGGCUACGUAGAGAGUCGGGCACCUGCCCUGCUGCUGUCUUGUUUUGUUGAUUUUGUUAUAUUACGGUCAAUCUGUCGGCGGCCCAGUUUUCCCCUGUAGCUUGCCUUUCCACGCCCUUUUGGACUAUUGUUCGCUCCAGCUUUUGUGGCUGGCCGGGGCGAUUGUCGGCCGUAUACUGGGCCGGUUAUACGAACUGGUACUGCCUUUCCCCUUUCUCCCAGCUGUGGGAAGUUGUGUGAGACCGAGCAGACCAAGGAUAAUCGGACCCAGCACCAGCUUUGGGCUGGUUCGCCGAGUGAAAGUAUUUUUAAUCAGUGCUCUGUGGUGUCUAACUGGGUGUGUUGUAUCACCGACUUUUGUUUUCCUUUAAUUGUUUCUUUCUUUUGUUUUCUAGGUUGAGAGCUUGUUUAUGUCCCAUGUUUUUAUCCUUUUUAAUGUGUUUAUCUCGUGCUUUUAUUUCAGCGAACUGAGGAUUUACCAGCGGCCGUGGGACCUCAGGUGGUGCGUCGUUUUCCACACUACUAUUGUUGUACAGCACCAGGUGAAUAGACUAUAGUAGGUUUUUUUUUUUUGUGUGUGGUUCUUUUGGUCCACCGCUGCUGGUAAGUCCCAGUUGUAUUUAUUUGUAUUGUAAUUUGGGACACCGUUUUAGAUAUUCAGUGCGCUGUUGUUUUGUUUUUCAUUUUACAUUAAUAAAUAAAAUUGUGUUUAUAUUUGA